rnacentral:lncRNA from 1 species
UAAUUCUUAAUUUAAUUUAAUUUAUAAAUUUUGUUGUAAGUUUUUCUGUGGGCGUGAAUGGAAAGUCUAACCCGUGUUUCUCUGUUCAGCCUCCGCCGGUCACGGCCGCCGCCCCCAGCGACGUCACCCACACGCGCAGAAGCGGACGCCGCGGUCAAGAUGUCUCUGCCAUGCCCACGGGACGCACGGACGCACGGACGCACGGACGGACUCCACAAGGUAGGAAGCCUGCGCCGAGCGCACCGCCGCACCCACCACACAGGACACACGCGGGCCCCGCGCCCGCCCAGGCACACGCGGCACACACGGCACACACGGCAGGCAGGCCAGGCACACGCAUCCGCAGGACCCGCACCCGCCACGCAGACACGGACGAGCCGCCGCGGUCAAGAUGUUCACCCGCCGCGGUCAAGAUGUAUGUGCCACCGACCCUCGCCCCGCUGGACGGACGGACGGACGCACGCCGUCAGCGUCCACCGGUCACUGCCGCCGCCCACAGUGAUGUCACCCACGAAAGCACACACGUAGAAGCGGACGCCGUGGUCAAGAUGUCUCUGCCAUCCCCACAGGACGGACGGACGGACUCCACAAGGUGCGCGUGUCGCCGAGGCCGCCAGGACGGAGCGAUUCUCACGGAGGAAGGAGCACGCCAACGGGGCCUGACUGCGUACAGAAAUGUCCCCCUCAAUAAAAUUGCAGUUGAAAUGG